rnacentral:lncRNA from 1 species
GGGUGUUAGUUGGUGUUUAUUCCCAGUGUAGGAAUAAUGCAUAUAUGAACUGGAGUGUGUACGUGAUCUUGAUUAGAAAGCAUGACAAGACUCUCAUAAGGCAUACGACAAAGGUUGACUGAACUCAAAGCAAAGCAAGAAGCAUAAACGUGCAAAUGUUUUCCUAACUCUAAAUGGAUAUUAUAUAUGGCUUUGGUAGGAAUUGACACUUUGUCAUACAAGAGCUCAUCAUAUAGGUUUUUAGGUUUUCAAAAUAAAUCUCUAGAACUUAAUAAUGCUAGGAAUAAG